AGCUUUUCGAAUCCGUGCUGAGAUUUCAUCAGAUACCAACCAAUUAGGGCUGAUUAGACUUCCAAGAUAAGUGAAGUU
rnacentral:pre_miRNA from 1 species